rnacentral:rRNA from 1 species
AUCGUCGGUGAGGUCGUGAAACUUGAAACCGAUGUCCAAGUGAGCCAGACAGUCGUCCUCCGUGACACCGUAGUUGUGGAUGCGAGAGUCCUUCUCCGUGACGGGCACCACGCUGGCCAUGAUGUCAAACACCCCCUUGAGCUGCACUCUGAUGCCAUUGGUCGUGGCGGUUCUCGUGAUGGUCAGGCCUGCCACGGCUGCCGACUCCCAACGCGCGUCGAGCUUGGCAGGGAGAUCGAUGGUCUCGUCGUCCAAGCCAAUCUCAAGACGGUCGACGCGGUUGCUCCAUUUCACGGUCCUCUUGGCACCGACGAGGAGGCGGUGGUCCGCGAAGCGGAUGCCAAUGGCCUGGAUCCAGGUGAAGUUACGACCCGUGGCGGGGUUGUGUGUGCCAAUGAAAUGGGCAUUGACAUGGAGAUCAACAUCGGAGAGGACGCAAAAGUCCUGGUCCUUCUUGCCGUGGAAGUAGAAGUUGUUGCCGUCGCCACCGGUGAAGCGCGGGUCGCCGCAGGAGAUGCCCGGGUAGUAGUCGCACACUUACAUGGCACAAGUAGCUAA